CUAAAACAACUAUAUUUUAUGGAACAAAAAAAUUAAUGAGAAGAGUGGUGUUAUAUCAAAAAUUUUGCAAAUCUGUUGAAUCUCUGGUUUAACAGGAGACAGAUGAAUCCAUAGCUGCUUCUCCAGUGAAUCACAAUUGGUUCAUUGUGACAGUCCAUGUCAUGUAGCUUCUGGGAAACUCCCCACUCCACCCCAGAGAGAAUGAGAGUGAAGAGGACAAGUAAUAUCUUAAUCAUCUUAGUAUCUGGAAGACAACAGUUUUGGCCUUGAAGACCCCCACCCACCACUGGGUCUAGGGACCUCCCAGGAGUCCUCAUGCCACAUUUUGAGAAUCACAGCUCUGCACAAUCUUCAGGUAGAAACAUUCAAGAUCCAGAAAGUCUCAAGGCUUUAAAUGCCUGAGUUCAAGCCCCAUCCCAUCACUUCCCAGCUGUGUGACCUUGGGCAAGUCAUCUAACUUUCUGACCAUGUCAGUCUCUUCAUCUCUAAAACAGGAUCAAUGACACCUACAUCUAGGCCGUGGUGAAAUGAGAAGUAACGGAGUCCCAGCAGUAAUGCGGCACUUGGCUGUCCCCUGGCUUCGGUAGACACUCCUUCGCCAGAAUGCUUCCUUCCAUGCGCAGAGGGGUCUUCCGUCUGUAACCCCUGACCUCUCUCUGCGCCUAUGCCCUCUUCUCUUCCCCAGGAAGAUGUGUGACCUAUCUCAUUGGUAAAUUUGGGGUGAUAAAACUGAGGCUGUCUCUGGAAGAGCACAUGCUCUCUGCUCCUCCACGAUUAAACACAGGAGUCCUGAGCUGGGUGGGCAAAUCUACUUGACGCGGUUGGCUUUGAGGCUAUUGGAACUGGAGCUGCAUCUUCUAGACUGACCUCUGCCGGUGAUGUGCUCACAUUUCAUCUUCCAAUGGCUUGUUUCUCUUUUCUUUUUUUUUUUUUUUCUUUGAGACGGAGUCUCGCUCUGUCGCCCAGGCUGGAGUGCAGUGGCGCGAUCUGGGCUCACUGCAAGCUCCGCCUCCCGGGUUCACGCCGUUCUCCUGCCUCAGCCUCCGGAGUAGCUGGGACUACAAGCGCCCGCCACCACGGCCGGCUAAUUUUUUUGUAUUUUUUAGUGGAGACGGGGUUUCACUGUGUUAGCCAGGAUGGUCUCGAUCUCCUGACCUCGUGAUCCGCCCGCCUCGGCCUCCCAAAAUGCUGGGAUUACAGGCGUGAGCCACCGCACCCGGCUGGCUCAUUUUUCUUUAUGUUAUUUCUCUAUUUGUGGCGUAUUCCAGGGGAUGGGGGACUGGGAUAGGAAGAAUCAUAACAGUGUGCCCAGAGGUCCCAAUAGCUACCAUUAUUGCCAUUAUCAGCAUCAUCGUCUCAUCCUUCAUUCUGUCACUAGUGCCAUUUCAUGCUGUAAAAAUAGUUAUUGUAGCCACUGAGACACAAGUACAUACACACCCCACUCUCUCCAAUAUCUUCUAACACAUUUCUAAGUAUAUUUCAAAUUAUGUAAGAAUGAGAUACCUCAAAAUACUCCCAUAAUCUAAGCAUCAUCAAUUGGACUCAAGAGUAAGGGAUUAAGAAUAAACUGAAAUUUUGGAUUUGAGGAAUUAGUUUCAGGAUGGAAAAAUUAGUGUCAGUUAGUUAUUUCACCAAACAACAUUGUCAACCGUACAAAAAAAAAUUCUCUCCUGUGAAUGAGACAUGUGAGAAUAGUUAAUUCUCAGUAACUCUCUUAUUCACUUAGUAUAAUCAUUUAUUCAUUUACAGGCUUAUAGGUGGUUCUUGAAUAAAAUUAAUGAAGAGAAAAUAGUCUUUAGGACAUGGCUCUGUGUCCCUUCCAGGAACAUGGCCAACCUUACGAAUUCCCAGGAGCCUCGAUUCUGGACCAAAUCCCCAAGAUCGUCACCAGAUGCGGACCGCCGGCCCUUUCUAGGCCCCAUCCCCAGCCACGGCCCUCUGCCUCUCCCUUUUGCUGAGAAUGCCUUGCACUGGUUUAUGCUGUUGGAUAAAGUUCUAAACCCAUUUCUAAUUCAGCCAGGAGGUACAUGAAUGCCUUCAUCCAGGCAAUUGCUCCCAAGGCCGCAGUUCUGUUGAUUCUUUUCCUCCCUGGCCUGAGCAUCCCCCCAGGGCCUCUUAGUUAUUGCUUCGAAGCUGCAUCAACUCAAGCAGGCCACUAAGGUGCCAGCAGGGUCCCCGAGGCUGGAGACAAGGAAGAGCACCCUCAUUAGUAACUAUCACCAGAACCUUCGCUGGGGCUAAAAUAAUUAGAGCCACUUAAUGAAACGGAGCCAAUUAACUUCCAGUUUAUGACCAAGAAAUAAUUUCACCAUGUAUACAGACUCAGAGAUAGAGGGAGAUGAACAUUGCUCAAAUCCCAGGAUCAGGGAAAUGUUACCUUGCCUUAUGCAUGAGCUACCUUUCACACGACCUUUUCAACAUCCCAAACCUAAACCAGCCUGGGGCUGCCUGAUGACCCCAGCCUCAUAAAGCAUGCAUCUUUCUGGAACAUAUUUUUCCAGAAAGCAUUUCCAGGUAGGACCCUUCCUCGAGUUCCCCUUGCAGGAGAGGAGCCAUUGACAUGCCCCCUAGUUGGCUGUAGCUCACCAUGGAUGAUAAAGGAAAGCAGUGACUCCAUCCUCUUGGACCUGAAGAUCUUAGAGCCAGGGAAGGCAGCCCCAGUGUGGACCACGAUUUUGCCUUCAUGGCUUCAGUACUCCUGGCUGCAGCCUCUUUUGCAGUGUAGUGCCUGUUCUACCCCAGAUUCACCUGCCUGAGGACUGGUUCGCAAUUGGCUUACUCUUGCCUGGUCAGUCCAAGCCACAGUUAAAUGCAUUAGCCCUGGGUGCUUUUGCACGUCACCAUAUGAUCCCUGUGACAUCAAACCUAGUUGUGCUUCAGGGUAAUCUUUAUGGUAUUAAGAUGGGAUGGAGAGAUUUGGGCUCUGAGCCCCCAGGAUUACAUUCUUCCAAUCUCAGCCAAUAGGGCCGGAGGCAGCAGCCAGAUGCAAUACAGCAGCUGGACCACCCCAGAAUGCCAGCUCUCCCCUCAGUGUCUCUUCAGAACAGUGAGGCAGCUGGGGCAGCUGUCUCCUCUCCUCUACAGAGCCUCCUGACCCUGGUCUUAGCCUAGUGUUGCCUGCUGCUCACAUAACAGUCAUGGGCCAGGGAUUGCCAUAGGUAAGGGGAACACAGAGAUGAAAACAGCAUGAUCUUCCUCAGGAAAAUAGUAGGCAGGUCAAAACAGGUGCCCAAAUAAUUCUUAUAUAAGAAG
rnacentral:lncRNA from 1 species